rnacentral:rRNA from 1 species
UACGGAGGGUGCAAGCGUUAUUCGGAUUUACUGGGCGUAAAGCGUGUCUAGGCGGAUUUGUAAGUCAGGUGUGAAAUCCCCCGGCCUAACCGGGGAGGGUCGCUUGAUACUGCAAGUCUUGAGUCUCGGGGAGGUGGACGGAAUUCCCAGUGUAGAGGUGAAAUUCGUAGAGAUUGGGAAGAACACCGGAGGCGAAAGCGGUUCACUAACCGACGACUGACGCUGAAGCACGAAAGCGUGGGUAGCAAACAGG